AAAACACAUGCUGACAAUAACUUUUCCUCCAUUUGGAAAUCACAUGGCAAAUUUAUACUCUUUCCACACCAACCUGGACAACAUGGUGAAACCCCAUCUCUAAAAAAUAAAAAUAAAAAAAUACCAGAAAUUUGUCAGGGCACGGUGCUAUGCUCCUGUAGUCCCAGCUAAUCAAGAGGCUGAGGCAGGAGCCACUGCACCCUGCCACCUUUUUUUUUUUUUUUCCUAAGAACUGAUG
rnacentral:lncRNA from 1 species